CUGCUGGUAAAGGUCAUUACGUAUUACUUUACUUACCGGAGGAAAAGAAACCAACAGGGAUUGCCCCAGUAACGGCGAGUGAAGCGGCAACAGCUCAAAUUUGAAAUCUGGCCUCGGCCCGAGUUGUAAUUUGUAGAGGAUGCUUUGGGGGAGGUGCCUUCUGAGUUCCCUGGAACGGGACGCCAGAGAGGGUGAGAGCCCCGUUGUCGGACACCUAGCCUCUGUAAAGCUCCUUCGACGAGUCGAGUAGUUUGGGAAUGCUGCUCAAAAUGGGAGGUAUAUCUCUUCUAAAGCUAAAUAUAGGCCAGAGACCGAUAGCGCACAAGUAGAGUGAUCGAAAGAUGAAAAGCACUUUGAAAAGAGGGUUAAAUAGCACGUGAAAUUGUUGAAAGGGAAGCGCUUGUGACCAGACUUGCGCCGGGCUGAUCAUCCAGUGUUCUCACUGGUGCACUCGACCCGGUUCAGGCCAGCGUCGGUUCUCGCGGGGGGACAAAAGCGGUGGGAACGUAGCUCCUCCGGGAGUGUUAUAGCCCGCCGCCCAAUACCCUCGCGGGGACCGAGGUUCGCGCUCUGCAAGGACGCUGGCAUAAUGGUCAUCAGCGACCCGUCUUGAAACACGGACCAAGGAGUCGAGGUAUUGCGCGAGUGUUUGGGUGUAAAACCCGCACGCGUAAUGAAAGUGAACGUAGGUGAGAGCUUCGGCGCAUCAUCGACCGAUCCUGAUGUAUUCGGAUGGAUUUGAGUAAGAGCGUAUAGCCUCGGACCCGAAAGAUGGUGAACUAUGCCUGUAUAGGGUGAAGCCAGAGGAAACUCUGGUGGAGGCUCGCAGCGGUUCUGACGUGCAAAUCGAUCGUCAAAUAUGGGCAUGGGGGCGAAAGACUAAUCGAACCAUCUAGUAGCUGGUUACCGCCGAAGUUUCCCUCAGGAUAGCAGUGUUGUUCUUCAGUUUUAUGAGGUAAAGCGAAUGAUUAGGGACUCGGGGG
rnacentral:rRNA from 1 species